AUUGAACGCUGGCGGCAGGCCUAACACAUGCAAGUCGAACGAGUGGCGGAUGGGUGCGGAAUGUCUGGGAAACUGCCUGAUGGCGGGGGAUAACUACUGGCAACGGUAGCUAAUACCGCAUACUAUCGGAUGUGCCCUGAUGGGUUUAGCUAGUGGGUGGGGUAACGGCUAACCUGGGCGACGAUCCCUAGCUGGGCUGAGAGGAGGACGGGCAAAACUGGAACGGGGCCACGGUCCAGACUCCUACGGGAGGCGGAAGUGGGGAAUAUUGGAAAAUGGGCGAAAGCCUGAUGAAGCCAUGCCGCGGGUAUGAAGAAGGCCUUCGGGUUGUAAAGUACUUUCAGCGGGGAGGCGUUACCCACAGAAGAAGCACCGGCUAACUCCGUGCCAGCAGCCGCGGUAAUUC
rnacentral:rRNA from 1 species